rnacentral:sRNA from 1 species
AGCAGCCGCGGUAAUUCCAGCUCCAAUAGCGUAUAUUAAAGUUGUUGCAGUUAAAAAGCUCGUAGUUGAAUUUCGGGAUCAAUUUGCUGGUCGUGCCUCUGGUACGUACUGGUAUUAUUGGUUUCUCCCUUCUGACGAACCAUGAUGUCAUUAAUUUGAUGUCGUGGAGAAUCAGGACUGUUACUUUGAAAAAUUAGAGUGUUUAAAGCAGGCAUUAGCUUGAAUACAUUAGCAUGGAAUAAUGAAAUAGGACGUUUGAUCCUAUUUUGUUGGUUUCUAGGAUUGACGUAAUGAUUAAUAGGGAUAGUUGGGGGCAUUAGUAUUCAAUUGUCAGAGGUGAAAUUCUUGGAUUUAUUGAAGACUAACUACUGCGAAAGCAUUUGCCAAGGAUGUUUUCAUUAAUCAAGAACGAAAGUUAGGGGAUCGAAGACGAUCAGAUACCGUCGUAGUCUUAACCAUAAACUAUGCCGACUAGGGAUCGGAUGAUGUUAAUUUUUAAUGACUCAUUC